rnacentral:lncRNA from 10 species
CUUGGCCUCCCAAAGUGUUGGGAUUACAGGUGUAAGCCACUGAGCCUGGCCAUUAAGUCCCCAUUUCUUUGGGGUCAACUAUUAGAGCUUUAUUUUGUUGCUUUAAAGGUGUCAUAUUUCCUUGAUUCUUUGUAUAUAUAUAUUUUUGAAGACUUGCGCUGCUAUCUUCACAUUUGAAGAAGCGGUCACCUCCUUUAGUCUUACUUGUUUCUUAUUAAAAUUUUUUUAAUGUUUUUUUUUAAGAGAUGGGAUCUCACUAUGUUGCCCAGGGUGGUCUCAAACUCCUGGCCUCAAGUGAUCCUCCCACCUCAGCCUCCCAAAGUGCUGAGAUUACAGGUGUAAGCUACCAUGCCUGGCUGUCCCCCAGUCUUUGUUGACUGGCUUUGGGAGAGAAAGACCUUCAUCAGUCAUCCUAGCUAAGGAUUUGAGGGAUCGCUCAGAUCUUUUCUGUAGAUACACCCACUCUACUCCUGUUGCUCCCUCUUAGGGAGAGAAGUCUUAGGUUGUAAGCUCCUCUCAAUCCUCCAAAGCUGGGUCUACACUGAGCACCUCCCAUUUUCCCUAAUGCAGUGCUCUGAAGCAUUCAAGGUUGGGCACCUUCUCCCAGUCCAGCAGAGUCAAGCCGGCUGCUCAGAUUUGCAUCUGCCGUUGAGAUCUGUGUACUGUUUGGGAGGAGGGUGCAUGAGACACCAUAUGCUCAGGGGUACGUGGAGUGCUGGGGGCAUGGAUCAGUUGGUUGGGGGGCCCACAGGCAAGUUGUUCUGUGGGUUCAUGGGCGGGCCUCCUGGUGGAGUGUUAGCUGGUUAGUGGGAUCCAUGGCUGGCUGUUGGUUGCUAGGCAUGUCCUUCCCUUCUCCUAGCAGUCCCCAGGUGACUCAGCCAUGCUGAUUCCUCAGUGUUCUGGGGAGAGACACAGGUGGGCUAUUGGGCAGCAUCCUAUAAGGUUGGGGAAGCUGGUGCUCACUCAGCACUCAGUUUCCCCUGUGGGAGAAACCACAGGCCCAGGGGGGCCUCAUUGGAGGAGCACUAGCACAGGUAAACUGAACCUUCUUAGCCUCUUCGGUGUGCUCUCUUUGCCCUGUGGGGUGCUAGAACCUCUCAGUGUUUCUGUGGGGGCAUGAGGGCUGGAACCUCCUAUUCUGUCACCUUCCUGGCCUCUUCCUACAAUUAUUUUUAUGCUCAAAUUGCCCCCGAUUUGGACAGGGGGAGAGCCUUCAGGCUGCUCCUCCAGCCCUCUCACAUGUCCCCAACGUUGUUCAGCAUUUCCUUAUUUUCCAGCACUAGACAUUCUAAGGCUCACCCUGUACUCUCUCUGCUCUUCCCUGGAAAUAGUCAUUUCUCCAAAGAGUUCUGUUCCCUUGGAAUAGAGAAUGGUAUUUACAAACCAAGAAAUGGAUUUCAGGUGUGCCAGUUGUUUCUGGGGUGGCAUUGCUUCUAGGCCCCUUCGGUGGACAGAGCUGGGAAAGAAACUGUGUGUAUCAUAUAUAUCUGCACACGUAAGCUGUGUGUGUAUCAUAUAUAAUACAUCUGCACAUAUAAACUGUGUAUGUAUCAUAUAUAAUACAUCUGCACUUAUAAACUGUGUAUGUAUCAUAUAUUAAUACAUCUGCACAUAUAAACUAUCAUCUGUACAUAUAAACUGUAUAUCAUAUAUAUCUGCACAUAUAAACAGUAUCAUAUAAUACAUCUGCACAUGUAAACUGUAUCAUAUCUGCACAUAUAAACUGUAUAUCAUAUAUAUCUGCACAUAUAAACUAUCAUAUAUAAUACAUCUGCACAUACAAACUAUCAUAUCUGCACAUAUAAACUAUAUCAUAUAUAUCUGCACAUAUAAACUAUCAUAUAUAAUACAUCUGCACAUACAAACUAUGUAUCAUAUAUAAUACAUCUGCACUUAUAAACUCUGUGUAUCAUACAUAAUACAUCUGCACAUAUAAACAUAUAAACUAUCAUAUAUAAUACAUCUGCACAUAGAAACUGUGUAUCAUAUAUCUGCACAUAUAAGCUGUGUGUGUAUCAUAUAUAUCUGCACAUAUAAACUGUGUGUAUCAUAUAUAAUACAUCUGCACAUAUAAAUGUGUGUAUCAUAUAUAUCCACACAUAUAAACUGUGUGUGUAUCAUAUAUCUACACAUAUAAACUGUGUGUAUCAUAUAUAAUACAUCUGCACAUAUAAACUGUGUGUAUCAUAUAUAUCCGCACAUAUAAACUGUGUGUGUAUCAUAUAUAUCUGCACAUAUAAACUGUGUGUGUAUCAUAUAUAAUACAUCUGCACACAUGCUUCUCUGUAUUGAAAACCAAAUUGUCACGGACCACUCCCAUUCUCACGCAGCAUUUAGGGCUGUGGCUAGCCUUUCCCAGCUGUAAGAAACCUGUCUUUCAGCAUGAUAAACACAUUUACUUAUUUGCUCAGUCCUCUAAUAUGCAGAAAGUAGUUUUAGAAUUGCCAAAACCAUACAACUUGGAAAAACAAGCAUGAUUACUUCAAGAUGUGUUUGUAGCUCCUUCUGUCCUGGCAUUGGACGUGGAGAGAAAGCACAGACUGUUCCAAGUUUCAUUUUUCCCCUUCUCUGAAACGCAGAGAGCGUUGUUUGUUUCUGUUUGUAUUUCAUUUGGGUCCUCCCUCUAGCCUUAUUCAUAAAUUUGUAAAUGAUCUUUAACAAUCUGUUAUAUUUAUGAUGUUUUACUGCGUGCUGCCUGUGAAAAUGUUUCCUUCUUCUGACACGUUCCAGAACAACUAGGCUUUUAAAUUCCAAAUAUUCCUGUUUCACAAUAAACCAGAUGAGGGCCUCUGUUGUGCCACAGCUUUUGGAAUGUGGUUUAUUACCAAUAGAAGUGGCUGCGUGGCUUGUUAUGGUUUCAAUUACACGUGAGUAACAACCGGGGCCCUUCUGUGUCAGGUGCUGCUGAUCAAGGCUGGCUAAUGGGGACCUCGCUGUCCAGAACGGGCGUUUCCCAUGGCCCGGCCCAGCUGUUUACCACUUCUGUCUACCAUUUCAGAGGGGCUUUGCGGAGAUUAAAUGAGGUGAAGCGCUCUGAGAACCUCAGUCCUAAAGAAUAGCAGUUAUACUGGUUUUUGUAUUAUAUUUAUAUAUUCUUCUUGUUAAUAUACUGGUUUUAAUGUUCAUCGUUCUCUUGGGAUCCCAUGACAGUGAGCCUGGUGUACCUGAGGUCUGGGAUACUCACACCUCUCCCCAGUCCCAUGCUCCCCACUGUGGCAGUGCCUGUCAGGGACCCUGCUGACCCCAGGAAGCCUCGGUGUCCCCAGCGCUGGCUCUGCUCACACAGGCAGCAGGCUUAGUGUUCUCUGGCCUGGCUGCACUGACUGGACCAGGGACAGGGGAAGGGCCCCAAAGCACCCUGUUCCAGGCAGCCGGCCAGUCGUGGCCGAGGAGCUCCAUUCAACAGUGGCACCCAGAGGGGCCAGGGUCUCAUAAAGCUGGUCAGACGCCCCCUCUGGGUAGGGGUGUAGGAAGCGGCUGUGCAGCCGGGUCCCAGGUAGGGAGGCAUAGAGUGAAGGCUGUGAGCAGGAGCCCUGGGGCGGAGGGCCAGGAGAAGGCUGGGCACAGGUCCAUCGGUGGCAGCUGGGUGGGCAGAGCAGAGAGGCUGCAUCUGCACGACGGCAGGGCCCUGGUGUGGGAACAGCAGACGGGGCCCCUGGGUGCGGCGCCUCCUUCCCACAUCCCUGCUGCUCCUGCAUCUGCUGCUGGAGAAGACCACGACGUGCUCAGACCCCGGCACUGGAGAACUCCAGAUGUGGUGAGGGCUGCACGUUAGCUGCAUACGCACAUCUGGAAGGUGAGGCAGACGUGCCCACCGCCUCCAUGCCUGGCCCACAGUUGUGGGCAUGCAGAGCUCCUCUGUGGCAGGCCCAGGCUGCACCAGCUGCCUGGAGAGGCACUGGGGGCGGGGCCUCACUUGAGGGGCAGAUUCUCCCACCCAGCCAGUCCAGGCCCAGCGGCUGGAGCAUCCCGUCCAGCAAAUUGUCCUGCAAGUUGCCCUGGAGACCCAGCGUCUCUCAUCACGUCUCACUCCCCUGCCAGAUGCCUCUGCGGCAAUAACGAGAGUGGCUCUGCCUUCUGCACUGAAUGCCGACAGGUGACCAGAACAUGACACUGGGGUUAUGCAGUGCCCUGGUUGAUAUUCUAGUUCAUCAGGGAGCUUCUGGAAUGAUUUUUUUUUUCUUUUUUUUUUUUUUUUGAGACAGAGUCUCUCUCUGUCGCCCAGGCUGGAGUGCAAUGGAGCAAUCUUGGCUCACCACAACCUCUGCCUCCGGGGUUCAAGUGAUUCUCCUGUCUGAGCCUCCUGAGUAGCUGGGAUUACAGGUGUCCACCACUAUCACUCAGUUAAUUUUUAUAUUUUUAGUAGAGAUGGGGUUUCACCAUGUUGCCUGGGCUGGUCUCAAACUCCUGACCUCAGGUGAUCUGCCUCCUCAGCCUCCCAAAGUGCUGGGAUUACAGGCAUGAGCCACCUCACCCAGCCAACUUUCUUUUGCUUCACUUUUCCUCUGGUUGCCCCAUCUUUAUUGUCAAGUCCUGUUAAGAGGAACAACAUUAAAAUGAGAGCUUUCAUGGCAAAAAGGUUGCUGUGGGUUGAGCUUGCAAUGUUAGCUGCGUGUUAGGAUUCAGCUGACAUCUGUCUCUGGAGUCUCGCCCUUUCUGUAAUUCGCUUUUGACUGUAAUAAAUGUUGUACAGUGAAUGUGUGGGUGGGGCCUCUGAGUUACAUCGGCUCAAGGCCUCUUUUAAGGAGGACCCAAAUAAGAGUGGGGAUUGAUGUAUUUGACUGGGAACCCACUCAGGGCCACCAUGCAGUGAAGCUCCGGAGCAGGGGUGUAGACGCCCUGCUUGAAGCGUUGAGAAGCCCCACAGUACAAGUGUGCAGAAGUCAAGCUCCUCCUGCUGGAGCAGGGACAGGGCAAUAGGGAAAGGCUUUUCCAGAGGCAGGGUCAUUGGGACUGGCUCUUCCGGGAGGAGCUGAGGGCACACGCUGGGCAGAGCUGACCUCUGUGUGCGGAUCGCCUGGGAUGGCGCCUCCGGUGGCCUCACGAUAAAGCACCUCAGAGGCAGGAGAUGAACUUGAGACCUGACCGUGAAGGAGUGAGGAGUGAAGUCCUCUUCUCAACAGAAGGAAACCAUCAAAGAGGUUACAUAAUCAAAACUGUGUUGUCAAAAUAUUGCUGGACAGAGAUGGCGGCUGGUCCGGCACGUGGGAAUGUUGGUGACAAGAGGUCAGUUCGGUGGCUCUUGGACCUCCCAGGCCAGGAGGGAAGCGCCCAGGCCAAGGUGGGAGCCUGAGAAUAGAGAUUUCAAGAGACGCUUCUAAUGAAUGCUCAUCAGAAUGUUAUUAUUAUUUUAUUUUAUUAUUUUAUUGGGACUGGAUUGACUUGCAUUUCCUUCACUAAUCAGAAGUUUGAGGGCAAAGAUAAAUCUCAAAUAAUCACCUUGCAUUUCUGAUGAGUUAAAUGAGUGUGUUUUAUGCCCUGGUUGUAUGAGCUUGCUUUUCCACAAAUAAGAGUGGAAAUUUUAUUUUAUUAUUAUUUUGUAUUAUUAUUUUAUUUUAUUUUU